ACAACACUAACAGAUUGUAUUUUGUUGGUGGUAGCUGAAGGGUUGAAAAAAAAAAUCAUUUUCUAUUCAUUCAAGUAUUUUUGUUGAUUUUUGCCCAAACAUUUAUGUAUGCUCUUUCCCCCAAUUUUGAAUCCUCAUCCUUUUGUCACCAAAAAAAGAUUUGAAUUUCUAAUUUCUUUGAUUCAUAGCAACAAAAUCAUCUGACUCCCCCUCUUUUCAAAUAACAAUUUCCUAAAACCUCUCAGAAAUUUCAUCUACCUCCAAGUUUUUCCCAAUCGCUUCUCUCUUUCUCACUCUAGGGUUUUUGAAUUUGAGAGAAAUUUCAUUGUGACUGAAUGUGAAGAUAGAGGCUCAUGGAAUCGGUACAAGGUGGCACUAGAUGCAGAGGAAGGACGACAUGGUGAAAAACUCCCAUUUCAUUUAGGCUGUUGGAGAAUGGUUAAUUGCCGUAAAUCUUGUCGGCAAAUGAUGCGGUAUUUCUUGCUUUCACAAAUUUAAGACCCUCUAAGGAUAUAAGUACUAGCUCAUUUGCCUCACUUGACCAGAUGGUGGAAGUUAAUGUUUCUUAACUUCUCUUUGAAGAAAACAGGCACAACUUCGAACAAAUGAGCCUAGCAAGAUACUUGGAAGAAUUGAUUCCAAAUGCUAUUGUUGAUGAAUUUUAUGGUUGGGAGAAUGGACAAACAAACAUUUACAGAAAGGAAUUGGAGAGAAGAAGAGAGAGAGAGAUUACUAAAGCUACCUGUUGAUGUUGGAGACUAGAAUUAGUUGAUCAUUCUUAAUGAAAUCUCAUAUUAUAUACAUUGUAAAGACCUUUAUAUUUGAGGCAUUAGUUGCUGCAAUUGGAUUGUAUGAUUUGUGAACAUCAUAAAACUUGUUGUAAUUUGAUUUUAUGAUUUGUAACCUUUAUAUUGGGAGGUUUAUGUGUUUCUAUCUUA